UGAGGAAUAUUGGUCAAUGGGCGAGAGCCUGAACCAGCCAAGUAGCGUGCAGGAUGACGGCCCUAUGGGUUGUAAACUGCUUUUAUAUGGGAAUAAAGUGAGGGACGUGUCCCUUAUUGCAUGUACCAUACGAAUAAGGACCGGCUAAUUCCGUGCCAGCAGCCGCGGUAAUACGGAAGGUCCAGGCGUUAUCCGGAUUUAUUGGGUUUAAAGGGAGCGUAGGCUGUUUGUUAAGCGUGUUGUGAAAUGUAAGAGCUCAACUUUUAGAUUGCAGCGCGAACUGGCAGACUUGAGUGCGCACAACGUAGGCGGAAUUCAUGGUGUAGCGGUGAAAUGCUUAGAUAUCAUGACGAACUCCGAUUGCGAAGGCAGCUUACGGGGGCGCAACUGACGCUAAAGCUCGAAGGUGCGGGUAUCGAACAGG
rnacentral:rRNA from 1 species